rnacentral:lncRNA from 1 species
ACAUGUUUCCCUGUGGUAACUAAGCCUGUGGAUUGCAGCAAGAAUUGUGGUGGUUCUUCUACACCAGAGAAACCUAAGACACCAAAGCCUCCAACGCCAAAGGUUAGUCCACCACCGACGCCAAAGGUAGAGCCGCCACCCACAUCGAAGGUCGAGCCCCCACCACCAACACCGAAGGCCAAGCCGCCACCUUCCACACCGAAGGUCGAGCCACCACCCACCCCCAAGGUUGAGCCACCACCCACUCCAAAGGCAGAGCCACCUUCCACGCCAAAGGUUGAGCCACCACCCACUCCAAAGGUUGAGCCACCUCCCAUGCCAAAGGUUGAACCACCACCCACCACUAAGGUUGAGCCACCACCCACCCCUAAGGCCGAGCCACCACCCACACCAAAGGUUAAACCACCUCCCACGCCAAAGGCCGAGGCGCCAAAGGUCCAACCACCACCCACCCCUAAGGCUGAGCCACCACCUACCCCUAAGGAUGAGCCACCUCCCAUGGCAAAGGUUGAACCACCACCCACCCCUAAAGCCGAGCCACCACCCACCCCAAAGGCUGAGCCACCACCCGAGCCAAAGGCCGAGGCACCAAAGAUCCAAACACCACCCAUCCCUAAGGCUGAGCCACCACCUACCCCUAAGGCUGAGCCACCUACGACGCCAAAGGUUGAGCCGCCACCUGAGCCAAAGGCCGAGCCACCUCCUACACCUAAAGCUGAGCCACCUUUUGCACCUAAAGCUGAUCCACCUCCCGCACCUAAAGCGGAGCCACCUCCAAUAGCUAAGCCGGAACCUCCUCAAACACCAAAAGUUGAGCCACCGCCAAUGCCACAGGCUGAGCUACCCCAAACACCAGAGGCUGAGCCACCCCAAACACCUGAGGUUGUGCCACCCCAAGCAUCUGAGGUUGAGCCACCCCAAGCACCUGAGGUCGAGCCACCUGCUGCACCAAAGGUUGAGCCACCUCCAACACCAAAGGUCGAGCAACCACCAACACCUAAGGCUGAGCCACCUCCAACGCCGGAGGUGGAGCCUCCUAAAGCACCAGAGGUUGAGCCACCAAUACUCACACCUGCACCAAGCCCGAUUGGCCGUAGCCCUAAAGGUCCUCCGUUGUUUCCAAUUCAACCACCAUCAACGCCAGAACCUGUGCAAUCUCCUCCAUCACCAUCUCCAACACCAGAACCAUCUCCAGAGCUUGUGCAGUCACCACCACCAGUCCAGUCACCACCACCACCUGUCCAAUCCCCUCCACCGCCAAUUCAAUCUCCACCACCACCUGUCCAGUCUCCACCACCACCACCAAUUCAAUCCCCACCACCGCCUGUCGAAUCUCCCCCACCACCAAUUGAAUCCCCCCCACCACCAGUCGAAUCCCCGCCACCGCCGAUCGAAUCCCCACCACCACCAGUCGAAUCCCCGCCACCGCCGAUCGAAUCCCCACCACCCCCAGUCGAAUCCCCUCCACAGCCGAUCGAAUCCCCACCAUCGCCGGUCGAAUCUCCCCCGCCGCCUGUCCAAUCCCCACCACCACCAGUCCAAUCCCCACCACCGCCAAUCGAAUCACCUUCUCCCCCAGCUCCAACUCCAUCUCCUCAUUUGCCUCCUCCUGUGGAGUCUCCACCACCAACCCAACCAGACUUCGUGCUACCACCAAACAUUGGAGCACUAUACUCAUCGCCACCACCACCAAUGUUCCCAGGCUAUUGAGUAGUAGUUUAUCAUUUCACAUGUUUGCUUCAUUUUGUAUUUUCUUCUCUAGUUACAAAACACCCUCUACACGUUCACUUGUAACUUGAGAAUCUUACCAAAUACAGUGAGUUUACAAUUUCAAUACCUUCCAUGCAACUUGAUUGGUUCUAUCUUUUGCUAAUGUAAAUUUAUACUUAAUAUGUGUUAACUCAUCGACAAUUUAUUGCUAAAGAAAUAAAACAGAAAAAAAGAGAAAAAGUGAUUGAAAGUUGUGGCUGAUCAUGAACGAAAUUAAUGUUUGUAUUGUCAGUAAAGGCUUGUUUGGGAAGUUUGUAUAUACGCAAAUCAGUAUUGCUUAUAAGUUCUUUCAUUUACUAAGAAUAUCAUCAUUUAUUUUUGAAAUUCAAGUGCUUUAUGAAAAUGCACUUCCUAAGAAAGCACAUAUGGUUUUACAAAAUUUCACUUAAAACUGCAAAAUUCAAAAACUAUGUUUAACUAUAUUUUCAAAACAUUAUUAAACAUGCUUUUAGUUAUUUGAAUAGAAAUGUCACACCUUUACAAACAUUAAAAUUGUUGAUCUCAACGAGACAAGAAAUUGCUUAUGAUUCUGUCUAAAAUUUGGGUUUGUUUUAGCGGGGGGGGGGGGGGGUGUUGCUGUUGCUGUUGUGGGACGAAGAGCAAGAGUAAAGUGGGAUUUCAAGGAAAAUACAUCGAUCUGUUAAACAUAGUGUGAGAGUGGAGGUAGAAAGGAGAUGAGGAUGUAAGCAAAUUGAAGUACAAGUUCGACAUUUUUACAAGUUGAAAAUAUUAAAUUCAUAAAAUGCUAAAAAACAAAAUGGGAGUUGUAGAAGUAUCAAUACAAUCAAUUUCCCAUACGCUUACCCCUAAAACUGAGGAUCUGGGCAAACAUACAAAAGAGGUACAAAUGUGUAUAGGGAUAGGCACAAUUCAGUUUUGAUCGGUUUUACUCCAACUCACAAUCAAACAUGGUUCAAAUUUGACAAAAAUAGGUAAGAAAACAACUGUAUGGUCUGGCGGUUUAGGCCUAAACCUAAUUACUUCUUCUUUUACAUUUCUUUCAACUUCCUCAGUCCAAUUACAACAACAAAAAUGUGUAUAUAAUUUGCUACACAUUUCCAACAUGUCAUCAAACUUCACUGCCAAUUCAUUUAGUUAUGGAUUUCUACGAGAAGUGGACAUUUACCUUUCUUUCUAUUUGACCAUCUAACAUCUGAGUAUUGGGAUCAAUGCAACAUCUUUUAAAUUUAUUUCAAAAAAGUAAUUUAAUAACUAAUAUAAUUAUGAUUUAAGGAUCAGUAACUUCAAAGUUUUGUUAACCUUCAAAUUCAGCAUUAUUCUCUCGUUAUUAGUCAAUAAGAAGACUAUGUGGCCUCGUUUGGCAACUUGGACUGUACUGACUAUUUUAGUUGUAUAUGUGUUUGGACCCAAUUAUUAAUUUUAGGACGAGAGCGGUAAUGGGCUCAGCCCACAGGAAAAGCCAAGGGUGUCUUGAGAUAUUCCCAAGGAAAGCCUAGCCCAAGAAGGAUAAGACGUGUCCUACCAGGAGUUGUUCUCAUCAAACUUGGAUAGGAUUUUGGCCCAGUCUUGAUACUAUAAGGAGUCCUCAGAUAUCAGUGAUGCCUUGAAUCAAGGAGCAUAUGUUAAGGAUCAAGAAUUAAAACUUGAGGAUAAUAAGGUUGGAUUCAAAGUCCUAAAUAUACUAGGAUUGGUCAAAGCCCAUUCAGAAUGGAUGAAGGAGAAAUUGAAGAAUUAUAAUCCGAGUGGGAUUCUACUUCAGCUAUGUGGGAAAUUAUUACUUUAAAUAGAGAAGGGAAUGAAUCAUUCAAAGCUCCUUCUAACACACAAACAAACAUGCCAUGCGCAAACCUUCACUCUACGCGAAACCCUCUCAUUCUUGAGAAAACACUCACCUUUCUAACUUCGUCAAGCACACCUUUAGUUAGUCUUAACAACACUAUGGUUGACAAUUGGCGACACCUUUAGUUAGUCUUAACAAUACUGGAGCCAUAGAAUCUGGCGACCAAGGAGCACCUUCAGUUAGUCUUAACAACACUGCUUCGAGAUUGACUAAUUAUUUAUCCAAGUCUUGGCCAGUAGGGAGUUUUUGAGUCCUUAUUGGAAGAGGUCACUUCAUUAGCUUUCUUGGCGAAGUGAGGUUUUACCAAGUUACAUGGCUCGACACAUCAAAAGCCGAGUUUAUUUUAUGAGUGGAUAUUCACAAGUACAUUUCAGAGUUCGGCAUUCUAAUGUCCAAACCACAUUUACAAUCAAGACACUUAUCUCUUUUCAAUAUUUAUGUCCAUACAGUUUGGUAGCGAUUCGGCGUACUUAUAUUUGCACAAAUAUAAUCACAGUGGCCGAGCCCGAUGCUGAUGAUUCGUAAACUUCAAGGAAACUAGUAGUCUUAUCUUCAACCUAGAGGCUGAGACAAAUUCCUUCAUCGGCCAUGAUCAUAAGAAAAAAAUCAGUAGCACGUUCGACACCACUACUACCACAUUCAUUCACUCACCGACCGAGCUUGGUUGUCAAGUUGGCAUGCCCCGCAUUCAAUCGAAUGAUGUAGUUAACUCAUUAGCUAUUCAGCAUGCACGCCACGUAGACUUGGUAGGUUUUAGGGUCAACAUUUUUGCAUGCCCAGUGGAAUGUUCUUCCAAAAUCUAUGAAUAAACUGAGAUUGUGAAGGUGAGUCUGAAAAAAUCGAGAACCUUUGUUCUGAUGCAUUUCCAUUCCAUUUCGUUUUAUGUAAUUCUGGAAUUUUACUUGGUUAAAAUCAUGAAAUUGGACUUUAGAUAUAUAUGUGCAAAACUUGUGCUGGGUUGUGAUAAGUUUUGUUGUAGUUUUGUAGAUUUGUAGCAGGUAGACAUAGAAGUGUAAUUUGAUGGGUGGAUGAAUAGAAACAAAUGAAAUUGUGGUGGAAAGAGAUGAUGUAGAUAAAGGGGCUAAAUCUAGUGCAGGGAGGGUUGAAUAGUUUUUCCAACCGUUGACGAUGAGUUGAAACUGAAAUUAAAAAAAGAGUUUGAGCCGUUGGAUGAAAAGUAUGCUUUUACAACAAUUAUGCACUUACAGUGGGGUUUGGGUUUCGAGAGCAUAGUAGUAAAAAGUCCAAUGAUGGUGAACGUUGGUUAAGGAAAUAAUUUGUUUGUCGCAAACAAGGAAAGAAGUUGGUGGAUGCUAAUCCCAUACCUAAAAGGAAAGGUAGGAAGGGAGAUGCUAGAACUGAGUGUAAGGCAAAACUUGCGCUUAAUAAGGGAAUUGGUUAUGAAACAUUUGUUGUAACAGUUUUCAAUGAAGGACAUAACCUAUGUCAACUGCGUCAGACUUAUUUAGAUGACAUUGUCGAGUUUCAGAGUCAAAGAAGAUGAUGAUUGAACAAUGUGCAUAUGCCAAUAUUUUAAUAAGUAAACAAGUGGGUUUACUGGAGGUGCAAAGUGGAGGAAUUAAAAAAAUUGGUUGCACCUCCAAGGGUAUGUAUAAUGCCAAAUAUCAAUUGCAAGCUCAUCAAAUCGGGCAUAAUGUGGAAAUGUUGAAAGAGCAUUUUGAGAUGAGCAAGAGAAAAACGAUUCACUUCAUUUCAAGAUGGAGAAUGACAAAGGCGGAACACUACAAUAACGAUGGGAGCAAAUAUAUAGGAAGGGAGAUUUCAGGCUAAGUAUCAUUGGGUGCAUUGUGAGCCACCUUGACAUACUCGUGCUAUGUGUACUCACCACCGUCUCUAAGAAUGUCAUUUAUGUGUGGGCCAUGAUGUUGUCCCAAUCAUAUCCUUACCGAACCUGAUGGAAAUAUGAACGAAAUUUCUUAAACCCAUCAUAAAAAGAAGAGUCACUCUUCUUAGAGGUGCUUCAUCGCUAUUGAAAUGAUUGAACUACAACAUUCAUCAUCUUCCUUUUUAGAACUAGUUCAUCAUACUUACGUUUUCAGAUAUGUAUUUAGAGUUUGUACUUGGCUGAUUUGUACAACGCCUCGUUAAGUUGUUACUAUAAUGCAACCAUUGUGGAUUCAUGUUUGAGGCACUUUUGAUGCCAUUUAUUGAUGGAGCGUGAGUUGGCAGAAAAUUUGCUCUUUGCUUCUGCAAUUUGAUCGGUCGGAUCAUCAGAAUCACCAUCACUCCCUAACAAAGCCAUGACAUGUGUUGUUGCCAUGGUUAUUGCUGAAGAAAGUGUUGGCUACUGAAUUGUUUUUGCCUUGCUUUUAUAGACGAUCAAUUUAGAUGGCAUUAAAUGCCACACCAACAAAAAAUGGAUGGAAACAACAAAUAAAUAAGGGUCUGUUAUAUGUAUAUGAUGGCUUAUGAAUAGUUGUGUAAAGUUGUCAGGUAGUUUGUUUACAACUAGUUUGUCAUCAAUAUUCCUUACAAUUGGUUACCCUUUCUGUGUAACUACAUUACAGAUGUAUUGUCGACGAAGAAAAUGUUGGCUAAUGAAUUGUCCUUGGUUUCCAUUUACAGAUGAUCAAUUUAGAUGUCAUUAAAUGUGACGCCAACAAAAACUAGGUGGAAAUGAUGGAUUUAUGACUGCCUAUUGUGGGUAUAUGAUGGCUUGUGAAUAGUUUUGUAAGGCGGUUAGGGAGUCAGUUUACAACUACUUGUUCAUCAAUAAUCCUUCCAAAUCCAAAGCCUUUUACAGUAACGACAUUAAGAAUGUGCUAUGGUGGCAACAAAAUGUUGAGUUCGUAUAUAGUCACAUUUAAUAGGCUAAAAACUUGACAGUUUUAACGUGUGUGUCUUUAUGAGCACUUAUGAAGAACUGUGUUUGCCCUCAGGUAGUCUUAUCACUUUGGUCCUUCCAGUAGCAAAAAAUAAAUUUUCAAAGACAAAAGUGAGACAAAACUCAGUAGUACACUGAAACAUAUCACCACUUCCACAUCCAUUGUUCAAGAAAGUGUACAAACAUUUGUGUUCCAAAAAACAUGUACUCAUCCCACUCCCACAUCUAAUCUUAAAGACAUUCUACAUGCAUUUGUGUUCCAAAAAACCAAAAAACAUGUACUCAUCCCACUCCCACAUCUAAUCUUAAGGGCAUUCUACAAACAUUUGUGUUCCAAAAAACAGGACCACAUUUACGGUUACAUCAUGAAUUGCCAACACAAGUUAGGCAUAAAACUUAAAAGAAUUAACCUCUUCGUGCACAACAUGUUCUUCCUCAAUUCCACUUCUCCUUAGUGUAGGUGCAACCCUUAGACUUGUCUAUUAGUUCAGUUGUAUUCAAGUAUUUCAUAUGUUGGAUGCCGACAAGCAACCUCAUUGCCUUAGUUUUUAAUUCUUGGUUUGCCUUUUGAACAAUACUCAACUCACUAGGAGCGCGUUCGAUUUCCCCAAUGAAAUCAAGGUGUCUUCCAAACCAAAAGACAAUGUGUUGAGUUAUGUCUACCUGAAAAUAAAUGCUUGGAACGAGUAGUGGCAGUGGCCUCUUCUUGACACAGUUUGAUUCUUUUGGUAGAGGGUAUAUUCACGGUGAUUGGAUGCUGAGAUUUGGAGUUGGUGUAGGACAAACAUAAUUGGAAUUGGGAGUAUUAAAGAUGACCAAAUUUGUUUUGGGAGGUGGGGUAUUAAUUGGAGGAUGAGUUAUGGAUGUUGGUGUAUUAAAGAAGAUUUGGGAUGAAGUUUUGGGUGCUGUUUGAUGUAUUUAACAAGAUUGGAGGCAAAUUGGGUGUUAUUGUCAUGAUUGAGUGUAGUUGAUGGAAAAUUAAAGAUUUAAGGAGAAGCAAUGGAAUUUAAGAAAGGAGAUUGGAGUUGGUUAAAAUUUGUGGAAUGUAAUUAGGGGGUUUGGAUGAUAAGAUGGUAUACCAUGUGGAACUUAAUGUGUAAAAUAUUAAUUUGUAAUUAAUAAUUAAUAAUAAAAAAGGUAGAAAUGUAAAAAAUUUGAAAAAUUAUGAGGACACUUGGGAUGACAUCAUUUACGAUAUGAUCGGUACAUAUGGCGAAAUUGGUUAUUGGGACGACCAGAACAAUAUUGAAUAGUGUUUCUACUAAGAAAGGGGAAAUUUUGAAAAAAAAAAAAAAAAUUUAAGGGAAAAAUGUGGAAAGAUAUUAGAAACGCUUGUAUUAACAAGGGCAACAAUGUUGCUGAACGACUAAACUCCAAAAUGUUAACCUAUAAUGAAAAAAUCAAAGUGACAAAUACUAAUUGUUGGAUUACCAUUUUAUGUUUACACUUGACUGGUCAAGGUUUCAGAUUAUGGGUUAAGGUUUUGGAGUUUAGUUCUUUAGAAAAGUUGUCACCCUUGUCAAUAUGAACGUUUCUAAUAUUUUUCUACAUUUUCCCCUUUUAAAGAUAAAUUUUUUAAUUUUUUUCAAGUUUUCCCUUGUCUCAGUAGAAACACAAUUCAUAGAGUUCGUCACAACGAAACCAUGUAAUGAGACAAAAGUUCUUCGUGGACCAGGUCACUUCACAACCUAUUAAAUACGUGAGUCCUUCUAAAUCUUUCAGCCCUUGAUUAGCCACUCUACGGAGUGACAAUUCUUACACUAAUUGGCCACUAAAGGCUAGUCUAUCAACACUCUCUAAGUGUCCAAAGGAUGAUGCCCCAAACCCAGCAAGUUGUGCAUCAUUAACCUUUUGAUGCAUGACUCCUAGUACACGACUUGCUUAGGUUGUUAACCCUUCCCCUAUACGGUUCUUUCUCUUUUGUUGCUAGUUAAACCCCUUGAGUUGCCAUCUCCUAUACCCAUAACAAAACAAGGAUUCAACCAAAUGAACAAUAUAUUACCCUGAUAACAACCAAAUUCCGCAAUGUAUAACAAUAACACAACAUGUCAACAAAUUUUUAUAACAAUACAUCUACAAGGAAAAAACAUGUCAAGCAUUGGACCCGGGGUAGCGGAAAAAUAUGACCCGGUGCCCGGUGCACAAGUAAAUGUAAAAAUGAAAAUGAAAUACGAAACUUCUCUUAUUCCAAUAAAAUCCACCAGCUCCAAUAUGCAAUGACGUACAUAUAAUCAAUAUUCUCACGAUCUCCACAUUAUCAACAAUAACAGUAAUAUAAAUCAUAUUCCAAUAUCCACAAUUAUAUCAAUUAUAGAGAUACAUCAAGUAGAACACAUAUUUCACAAAGCUUAAACAAGACAAAUACCCCAAUGGUGAUAAGUUCCCCGAGAACCCCUACCUUAAAUCCGAAGCUAGAACCUUUGUAUUCCAACCCAAGUUCCAAGCUCUACGAAGUUGAUCACAACCAACGCCAUGUAUAAUUCCACUCUUAUUUUCCUAAUCUCUCUCUCUAUAUACAUAUAUAAUGUAUACACACACACGUACAUACAUAUAUAUUAAUAUUAAUACAUAUAUUUAUGGAGAAAUUAGGUUCUCAUCCUUCAUUUUGCUACUCCAUUGAUUAAAAUCCUAUUCCUUUUCAAUUUUUGAUAAAGGUCCUUGGGUAUUAAUAAUAUCAUUAAUUAUUUCAAUAAUAAAAUAUUAUUUUUAUUUAUAAAUAUAUUCAUUUAAUGUUAAAAAUGUUACAAUUAGUAUAUUUAUAUUUAUGACUAAAUUUUUUAUCAUAUAUUUUUAGUUUUAGUUUGUACCCAUUUUUAAUUUGUAAUUUUUUUUAAUUUGUACCCAUAUAUUAAUUUCUUUUUGUGCCCAUAUUUUUUAAAGUUUAUUUGUAUUUGUACCCAUAUAUAUAUAUAUAUAUAUAUAUAUAUAUAUAUAUAUAUAUUGUUUUUUAACUUUUUAUUUUGCUAAAUGUACCCAUGCUAAUUAUGUGUACCCAUUCAUGUAAAACUUUUUAAUGUUAAAAUGUACUCAUUCUUAAACAUACCAAUUUGUUAUAUGUAAAAUGUACCCUUUUUUUAUAUAAAAUAUAUUCAAUUUUUUUCUAAUCCAUUUUUAAACUUAUAUGGGUACAUUCUUUUUUCUUUGAUUUUAAAAUGUAUUCAUGUCAAGUUUAAUCCAAGAAAUUUACUAAUGUUGUUAGGCCUAAUAUCUUUUUUUUGUCAUUUUGAAGAAUGUACCCAAGUUUGGAUAGAAUAAUUUUUUUGGUUAAUUUUGAUGAAUGUACCCAUGUUUAUAUAUAUAUAUACACACACACACAAUAGUAUAUUUAUAUUUUAAUAUUUUUAAUCCCACAAAUUAUGGUUUUUUAUUUAAAAUCUCAUUUAUAUAAAUGAUGUGAAAAUAUAUAAGCACACAAAUUAAACCCUCUUAUUGACAAUUGUAGUAAAGAUGUAAGUAGGGAUCGUUCUGGACCGGACAUUAGGAUGGAUUGCUAAUCUAUGCUAAACUAACUUUAAAACACAAAACUAGGCUUGAAAACACUUAACUAGACUCAAAGAACUCGAAACAAACUGAAAGACUCAAAACUAACUAUAGUGACUCAAAACAGCUUAAAACAACUAAAUAGACUCAAACUAGACCCUAGAAAGUGAUUUGGACGAAAUUGGUUUUACCUUGACUCAAAACACUUAAAAACACAAACUAAAACAGUUUCUAACUAAUAUGACUCAACAAAGUAAAGGGGGAGUUGGCUUUGACGAAUUUGAAACAAAUAAACAAAUUGUAAAACUAAACGGAUUGUAAAAUGAAUUUUGGGAAAUAAGAUGGUUGAUGGAUUAGCUAGAGGUCCAUUCUUCACAUGACACACUUGUACAUGAAUCGAUUUCCAAUUGCUUUUCAAUAAAUUAUGAAGCUCAACACCCCAGAUUAACCGUGAUGCACUAAUUAACCCUCAGAUUUUCCUUUACUCAUUGAAUUGGAUGAAUGCAUGCGACAACCCAAAUCAUUCUCCAAAAGUCCCCUACAUGAAUGCAUAAUAGAGAUACAAUCAGAGAUCAUUACGUUCCAUGAAAAUCAUAAGUGUUGACGAGACAUUGGUAACUAUGAAUGCAUGAUACGUUUGCCAAGAAUUCAAUUAACGCGAUUGUGACUAGCAAUCUUCACUACUCAUGAAUAUAAAUUUGUAACGAUUAGGUGAAACUCAUUUAUAUUCUAGCAUCAAAUUCAUGCAUGAAAACUAAGUAUGCAUCCUUAAUCAACACACAAGAAUCAGUUUUGAAGAAAACAGUUAAUUGAAUUGCAUUCACAACUUAUUAAAUCACGAUUGGAAGAAAUCAAUUCAUAUCUCAAGGAUGUUCAUGGCUUUGAAUUUCCCCCUAGCUAAGUAGGGAUUUAGCCACUCAUGUUCACAGCAAAACGAAAGAAAAAGAAAUUAAACAUUGUAAAUAUAGAACGAAUUACACCUAGAAUGCUCUAACAAUCAAGCUCGAACAUUCAAGAGUCUUCCCUUCUUUCUUCUUGCUGCGGCACAAAGGUGGAUGAAGUGUAUGAGAUGUGUUUAGGGGUCAGGAAUGUGUUCUAGGUUGAAUGGGGUUGUGGCAAGGAAAAGAGAAUGGCUGGAAUUGUGUAUGGGAGUGAAUGAAUGUGUAGAAUGGUGAAUGAGAGAUAGAGAAUGUGGCUAGAGUGUUUAUUUAAAGACUUUUGGGUAUUUAAGGCUAGGAAAUAAUUUAGGUAACAAAAAUUAAACCAAAACUUAAAGGGAAAUAGGAAUUAAAGUCAGAAUCCUAAGGAAAAGGGGAUGUAGGGUGCGGCAAAGACUGAAAAUAAAGGGAAAAGGAUUUUCCUAUGCGGCAAGGGAAGAGAAUGAGUUUUCCUUGCUGAUUUGGGUCCUAAAUUAAAAGGGAAUGUGUUUACUUGUGCGGCAAGGAAGGGUAAUUGAUGAGAAGGGUGCGGCAUCCUCCUAGAGCAAGGAAUUAGGCAUCCCAAAGUGUUUAAGACUCCUUCUUUGUAGCUGAAACCUUUGUAGAUUAGGAUUAAGAAACUUUGACUUGAUCAAUCCUUCUUCUUCUUGGAUUCCUUUUCCUUCCUUGACUUGAAUUAAUUUUUCUUCCUCUCUUUAGCUGAUUCCUAGCAUGCUUUGGUCUUCAAUUUCGUCCAUCUAUAUUGCUCCAAGCAUAAGCUAUUCAAUUCAUGCCCAAGACUACUCCAAAAGGCUCCAAAAUGCACCUUUUUGCAUACUUUGUCCUUAGAACCUGAAAUUGCACGAAAAAUGACUUUAAACACUAAAAUAACUUAAGGAAUAACAACAAAAAUGCACAAGAACAAGCUAACUAAGUCGCAUAAAUAUGCUCCUAUCAAUAAACAACUAAAAUUUCUAAUUUUUAAUUUAAAAAAUAUAGUAACAUACAUAGAAAUAAAUUAUCACAUUAAUUUCAGGGACCUCGAUCAAAAAUUAAAAACCAACAAGGUUUCAAUCAAAGAAUAUUUAUAGCUAAGGACCAUAUCCAAAGUCUCCCUAUAUUUAUAUAUACACACUUAUAUACAACCACCACUUCUACGUAAACUAGUGCAUGCAAAUUGUACAAAUGGAGUAAAGCUCCUAUUUAUAGUGUCAAAUAGUCGGCAACCCAAAGGCUCUAAUUGGUUGAAAAUGAAGCUACUGACCUAAGUCUUUUGUUGGUCCAAUUAGAAGAAGAUAAGCCACCAAUAUAUAUCCUAGUCGUGGCAUCAAAGUGCUUACUCACUUUAAUAAAUCAAACACAUGGUACUUUUGCAUGCAAAUAAUAUGCCACCUGCUAAUCUUCAGACCUCCAUGCCAUGGGUUUGACAACUACUAACCUUAUUUUCAAUUGCUCCAAAAUAUGCCGCGUCCAAAAUAUAGUAUUGACACCUCUCACUAUUAGGUUUAACACGUGAACAGCUAUGUAAAAAUGUAUCUUAGGUUCAUUCUAAUUAGUAAUAAAUAAUAACCACAACGCAAUUGAAAAUACAGGACCUUACAAAACCUUUAUGACUUAAGUAAUAUCAACUUAAUUCAUAAAAUUAACAAAGAUUUCAUCAACACAAAUCAUUCCCAACUCAACAAUAUAACUUGAAAAAAAAAUAAAACUGGACUACCUAUCCCUUACUCAUAACAUGUCAACGACAUUUAUAAACCCACAUCCACCGAAAUUUUCCAAAAAUUUCACAAAUAUCCACCAAUUUCAACUAAUUUCAUCAAUCAACUAGCAUAAUUAAUCAAAUUGAUUGAAUUUACAAAUAAAAAAAAUUAUUUCUAGGGUUCCAUAUUUCUUAAUUCACCAAAUUUCAAAUUUACUUUGGGGAAUGAAGUAUGAUGUCGACUAUUGGGGGAAGCAACGACUCUGAAACUAACUCGAAGUAAGCAAGCACCACGUCCUUUAUGUGGAACCAAAUGCUCACCCUCGAACCAAACUUGCUUGAAUUUCUAAACUUUUGUGUGGAAGUGCAUCGAGGCAAGAGACGACAAGCACAACAUAACUACGACUGGGUUUCGAACAACAACGAAAAAUUUGAACAGUAAGCAACUUUUUGAUGGGAAUGAUGGUAGAGGGCUAGCGAGAGAUAGAGACUGUUGGGAGAAGAUAAAUUUAUGGUGGUAAUUGUUGAUGUCGGGGAGGGAGGGGAGGAGCGUUUAAAUUUCAAAAUUUUUUAAUUGAUGCAGGGUACCGUUUUCAAUUAGUGACAGGUCAUUUAUGACUUGGUUUCACCCAAAGCUCAUUUUGAUGGAUUGAUUUUCGGCUGUACAGAUUUCAUCCAAUGGCCCCCAUUUAGUUUGCACGCCUCCGCAAAGCUUUGUCGCAUCAUAGAAAACGCAACCUAUAGAUCAAGGUUGAGUUCAAUUUUGUAUCAUUUGAUAUUCAAACUUCAAAGGGUAAAUUACACAAAACUACCUUAAUUAUGGGUCGGACCACAAUCUCAUACCUCAUGUUUUAAAAAUUACAAUGUCAUGCCCCAUCUUAUGAAUUUGUUGCAAUGUCAGACCUCCGUCAGUUUUUUUGUUAAUUUCUCUGUUAAGAAAAAAAACGAUAUGGCUUGAGGAGGGGCCACUCUCUAGCCCGACUGGAUUAAAAAAUUAAUUGAAUUAAAAAAUUUAAAAUAAAAUCAUUUAAUUAUUUUUAUUUAAAAAAUGUGGGACCCACCCCCUACAAACUCGUCACCCUCACCCUUCUUUCCCAGUCCACAUGUAUCCCUCAACCUUCCUUCCUUCCUUCACCACCAAAACAAAAACUAACUCCCCCACUACCGCCCUCACCUGCGAAUUACUACCCUCUCUCCUUGGCUUUGGGUGCCUGCUGUUCUUCAUGACACCCUGACCCGGAAUGUCCAUUUGGAUUCCAAAUUGAGUUGUUUAAUGGGGAAAAUGUGAAUAAAUUUAAACUUAAAAGUGCCUAAAUGCAAGAGUGUGCUUGUGAGCGGGGAUGAACCCAUUUCACAGGUAAUGUCAGAGCAUAAGUAAAGUAUAGUAAAAUUAGAAUAAUAACUAUACCAUCCGAAGUAGUCUUAUAUAUCAGCAUUUGCCAGAAAUCCUUGUCAACACGAACACUGCCACUAAAUCCAGGGUUGAAAAAACAAAGGUAAGUGGGCCUAAAAAUAAAGCUUUGUAAAAACCUUAUUGAAAACAUAAUAACACCUCGCCAUAAAACAAAUAUAGUUUCCAAAUAUACAUACUACGUAUAGUGUGAAAAUACUUACCGUAGCUUGCAAUAUCUCAGGAACUCAAUACGUCACAAUAUUUCGUAAACAAACGCCUAACGUACGGUAAUCACAUAAUCUCGCAUAAACAAACAUAUCAUAUAGAGUGCUCAUCGACAUAUGCUAACAUACGAGUUCAUGCAUAAGUAUUUUGAAUGAACAGGACUGGGUGUUAUAAUGAUUUACGCUCUAGUACUACAAUCACAUGAAGACUAGCGCUAUGCGCAUCACAUACGAGUCCUAAAUAGGACUGACACCUACAAUGGAUCCAAAGUGAGUGUGCAAUGCGAUGUGAACAUACAUGUCAAGCCGCCCUAGCACAAACGAGUACUAACACCAGUGUAGCACACGAUGAGCAGAUAGCAUAAAUAAAAUCAUGCAAUAGUAAAUCGGUAAUUCAUGUCGACAUAAUACUAUCUAUAACCAUAAGUAAUCCCGAAAUAGUACGCAUACCUGUGCAUCCUAUGAUUAUAAUGAUUUCCUAAUUCUCAUCAUUACGACAUUUCUUGUAAACGUUAAUUUAAUUAUGGUAAUCACAUAGAAGCUUCGUUAGUAGAUGUAUAUAUGGAAACUAAAUAUAUAUAUAUACACACACACACACACACUAUAUGUAAAAGAAAAGACUCACCCACAGAUACUUGCGAGGUUGUAGCCGUUCAAACUAGGAAAGCCAGAGUCUCCGAUAAUAAUCACACCUAAACAUAAUAUUGAGUCCCGUAAGUAAAAACUCAACUAAAACGACUAAAUUUGGGAAAAUGAAGUGCAGAUUUAGAAUCAGGGCAUUGAAAUACGCUAAGGAGGGUCCCUGGAAAAAUUUGCAAAAAGUCAACAAUCAACUAAAAAGUCAACUAAGACACCGAGCCGGUCAACUACGUUAAAUCUUCGGAAUUUCACUAAAAGAAUGUCAAAAAUGGACUCGAGACGUCGAAAUUAGGCUAGAAGGGUUUUCGAGAAAUUUUUGAAAAAGUCAACGCAAGAAAUAUUCUAAGAAAUAUUCCAAAUCCAUUUAGGAAAUGGGUCAGGCCGUAUCUUGAUUUCGAAUCCAAAUUUGGGUUUUUGGAUCUUUGUUUUUUUUUCCUCUUGAGUUGGGUCGAUCUGAUUGUAGGUUGCCGGAUUCAAUGAAAGAGAAAGCUGGAAAUCCCCUUUUUCGAUCAACUACAAAUCUCCCCUAAAACUAGUCAUCUAAUAUAUUAAGUGGAAGCCCAAGAAACAAGGAAUCAAAAUAUACCAUUGGGUUCCUUGGCCAUGGCUAGAGUUGGCCGGAAAACUGCUCGAAGCCAUCAGAUUCUCACCAGAAAACUGGAGAAAGUUUCCCUUGACAUGUCUCAGCACCAAAAGCCACCAAAACGUCUCGAAAACAUCCUGAUUGUACUCCUAAACAUAAUCUACGAAGAUCUUGGGGAUUUUCGAGGUUGAUGUGGUAGAAACUAACACACAAAUUAAACCCUAUAAAUUAUGCAAACGUAGUACAAGUAAGUAGGGAUCGUUCUAUUCUGGGGAUUAGAAGGGAUACUAAUCAACACAAAUUAAACUUAUAAAACUGAAAACUAAGUUAAACUAACAUUAAAACAAUGACUGGGGGAAUUUUGGACUAAUUUAAUGAAAGCAAAAGCAAAUCGCAGAAAGUAAAUUAAGUUGUGAAAGAAAUAUGGGUGAGAGGAUAGCUAAAGGAUUCUUCUCCACACAUGAAACAUAUGCAUACAAAUCGAUUUCCAGUUAUUCUUUCUAUAAACCAUGAAUGACAAUGCCCCAAAUUAACUGUGAAUAACACUAAUUAACUCUCAGAUUUUCCUAAGUUCAUUGAAUUGGACUCAGCAACGUAACCAAAUUAUUCCUCUCAAGUUCCCUAACUAUGAAAAGCAUGAUAGAGAUACAUCUCAAAGAUCAUUAAGUUUUGUGAAAAUCAUAAGCAUUGGCAAAGCAUUCGUAACUAUGAAAAGCAUGAUACUCCUGCCAAGAAUUUACUUAACUUAAUCAUGACUAGUGACUUUUACUACUUACAAAUAUAAGUUCAUAACGAUUAGGUGAAAUUCUCUUAUAUUCUAGCAUCAAAUCCCUGCACGCAAACUAAGUGUGCACCCUUAAUAAACAUACAAGAAUAAGUUCUCUAUAAAGCAGAUAAGUAAAUCGCAUUCAUGUUUUAUGAAACAAUAACUUAAUGUAAUCAAUUUAUAUAAAACAUAUGAUCAUGGUUUCGAAUCCACCUAUAGCUAAAAAGCAACUUAGUUACACAUGUUCAUCAUAACUGAAAAAUAAUCUAAAAUAAACAUUGAAACUUAAAAUAAAGAUAGAAUGAACCCAGAAAACUCCAGUGACUUCAAUGGAUGAUUGCAGGUUACGGCACACUCCCUCCCCUCUCUAAUUUGUAGCAAUAAUGUAUAUAUAGGGUAAAGGCACAGCUGAAUCCCAAGAGGAAAAAUAUUAGGUUGUUUGAAUUAUUUUAUGACUCCUAGAAUUAGAUAGGAAGUGUUGAAAUAUGAUAAGGAUUCCUCCUUGUAGCUGGAGAUAAGAUAAGGUAAGAUUGGACAAGAUAGGAUAAGAAAAGGUUGUAUAAGAUAAGGUUCCUUUCCAACUAAGAUUCCUCUUUGUGUAAUUCCUUGUCUUCCAAGCCUCAACUUUAAUUUCACCAAAUUUUAGCACAUAUCUAGCACCAUUUGAACACCGAAAAUGUCAGCCCAUAUGCUAUCCAUGCCUGCUGUCCAAUCCAAGUCCAAAACUGCUCCAUUUUGCCAUUUAUUGUCAUAUUUACCAAUUUGACCUACAAUAAUACAAAAAUAACAUAAAUUACCAAAAUAAAUGAAAAUUAACGAAGAAAAUGCAAAGAAAUAAGAUAACAAAGUCGCAUAAAUAUGCUCCUAUAAGAGGCUUACCUACACUAAAAUUCACAAGGUACUUGUUGGAAAACAUGGAGGUCGUGCCCUGGGUGUACUGGUUCGAUGGUGGUGAUGGAAACUUGGUUACAAGGGAGAGAUAAGAGUGUUAAUUUAGUGGGUGGUCGAUCUCGCCAGAGUGGGGAGGCUGAUGGUGCCUCGGUGGUCCUCAGUGUGCCAUUGCAGAGGAGAGAAAGGGAGAGAGUGAAAGAAAGAGAGCUAGAAAAGUUAGAGAGAAAAAGAGAGAGUGUCCCAAAGAGUUGGGGGAUGAGUAACACAUGACAAGAGAUGAUAUGAGAGUUUGUGUUGGUGUGGGCCCCACGGGCCAGAAAAAUUAUAAAAAGUUUAAAAUUGUCCGACCAGAAAAUAAUAAAAUACACAAAAUUCAAAUUUCAUUAAACACCCUCAAGUUUCGUAGUUCCUUAAAAUCUUCAUCAUAGCUCCAAAUUCGAUUUCGCUUACGCAUAUGCAGUCGUACCAUCGAGUACUUCGAGAAUAUACAGUAAAACAAUAGCUUAUAAACGUCACGAAAUGACGGUCAAGAAAAGUCAACAAUCUCGCCUCUAGGGGUAUUUUGGUCAAUUCACGCAUUUAAAAUUAAUAAAAUCGUAAAGUUAAGGACGGGUUGUUACACUUCAACCCUAAUAUUCGCUACCUAUCAUUUUACAAUUUCAGUCCCCAAUUUUUAAUUUACUCAAACAAAUCAAAUCUCAACUGGAAUUUCGCAAGCUAGGUAUGCUAUGUUGCUACCCCAUCUGACACCUCUGCCACUGCCACUGAAAAUCCAUGUACAUCCAACUUUUUCUUUCUCUCAUGUUCCGAACAUGUGGUGGCAAUUUGGGAUAGGAGAAAGCUUCAGGCUUUGCUCAAUUGGGUUUGUGGGUUUUGUCUCAAGGGAUGGAAGGUGGCUGCGCUGGGGUUUUAGGAUCGAAGGGAGAGUAGGUUCGAUUGGGUUUCUGGGGUUUGGCUUGGGGUCCGAUGAGGUUUGGUGGUGCAGGUACAUUUCUGGGGCUUCUUGACGUCAGCGUGGGUGUGGAGGACAAUGUUUGUGAAGCCUAGGGCUUGGAGCUUGCAGACAAUGGCGGUGCCGACGAUGGGAUGGGGGAGAAAAAAGGAUGGGAUGGUGGUCUUGGGCAUGGUGAGAGAGAGAAGUGAGGGGAAGGAUGGAUACUAUGGAUGGGUGAGGUUGGUUUUUUUAUUUUUUUUUAAAUAAUAUUUUAAAUGAAUUAAAAUAAUUAGGUAAAUUACCUAAAAUUACCUCAACCAUGGCUCGAAUCACAAUCUUAUACUUUCUGUUUUAAACAUUGUAAUGUCAUACCUCAACUUAUGAAUUCGUUGCAAUGUCACACCUCCAUUAAAUUUUCUGUCACUUUGGCUAUUAAAUGAUGACGUGGCAUGAGUAGGACCCACUUCUUCUCCAAUUAGAAUAAUAAAUAAAUAAUUAUUACUAAACUAAUAAUUUUUAUUUAAUAAUUAAAAAAAAAAUAUAUUUUAUUAAUUAAAAAAGAAAAAUAUUUUAUUAAUUAAAAAGGAAAAUGAUCUUCUUCUUCCCAUCUUCUUCUUCCCAUUGAGUAUUACUACAGGCUUCAUCUCCAUCUCAAAUGGAUUUUGUGGCACUUAUAGGUUGUGUUCGGCUUUUGCUUUGUAAAGGAACCCAUGCUUCCGUGGGUAUGGAAGGAGGAAGUGUUAACCCCAGGCUGUCUAAUCUCUUUUUUCUGUGUGUGGCUUUAAUUCACAAAAAAUUCACUCCUUAAAACUCAGGGGGAAUGGAAUCGAAACCCUAGAAAACGCAAGAAAACCAGGGGGACUCCGAGAUCGGAAAACCGCUUGCAAAAAAAGGAAGAUUCAAUCAGGUCUAUGUAGCCCGAGAGGUAAAGUUGAAUUUCUCCUCCAUCGAAAUUGAAAAUCUUCAAAUUCCAAACUAAUGAUAAGUUUUUGGGAAAAAAGUAGGGAUUUAAAAAAUGGAGCUUUCAUGAAUUGGGUUAAGUUUAUUUUAACACAAAAUCAUGCUAUAACUUUAUUUAAUGAAAAAGAAUGAAAUAUUAAUGAAACCUCUUAAAUUUUAAUAAAAAGACAAAAGUACUUAAAUUUUAAUGAAAAUGAUAGAAUUUUAAUAUAAAAAAUUAUAAAAAAAAACCCUGACGCACGGUACCUCGCAUGUCCAUCACAGACACUGUUUAUGAAAUUGAACACUAUUUAUGUAAAUGAUACUACACUAUUUAUUGGUCAAGUUUCAAAAAUAGUGUCUAGUUCUUGGUCUAUUUUCAUAAAUAGCGUCUAGUUCUUGGUCAUGUUUCAUAAAUAGUGCCUAAUUAUUAGGUCAAGCUUCAUAAAUACUGUAUAGUAAUGGUACAGUUUCAUAAAUAUUGUCUCUUUCUUGGUCUAAUUUCAUAAAUAGUGCCCAAUUAUUGGUCCACUUUCAUAAAUAGUCCUUACUUCUUGGUCAUGUUUCAUAAAUAGUGUCUAGUUCUUGGUCCAGUUUCAUAAAUAGUGUAUAAUCCAAUUUCAUAAAUAGUUUCCACCUAUUGGUUUAGUAUUAGAAAUAGUGUCUAAAUUCUUGGUUUUGUUUCAUAAACAAUAUCUACUUAUUGGUCCAGUUUCAUAAAUAAUGUCUACUUAUUGGUCCAGUUUCAUAAAUAUUGUUUACUUAUUGGUCAAGUUUUAUAAAUAAUGCCUCAUUCUUGAUUUAGUUUCAUAAGGUUUGAAACUUAGACCCUGUUUAGUCCUGUAAAAGCAUCCAUUGUGCCAAAAACGAUUAGCCUAUAAGUUAUCCUUUAAAUCAAAACCUUGAGAAGAUUAUGUUCUCAGUAAUUAUAUUUUAAAAGCUAUUUUCAAUUACCAAAUUUGUGAAAUCCCGUUUCCGGACUUCACUAUUUAAAAUUUCAUAUUUCGUAUUUCGUAUUCUUAGUUUCGAUGCUUUUAUAUUUAUGGCAUAUUUGAUCCCUACGUAUUUUUACACUUAUCUUUAUAUAUUUGGAUAGUACUCGUCGAGAUGAACGCGUGGAUGCAAACGAAAUGUAAUUUGGAGUUAUACGAAGAUUCUACGAACCUUUAAACAUCGAGGGUAUUUUGGUAAAUUGACAAUUGAACACAUGUGAACUUUGUUGUCUGCCACAUGGGACCCACAAAUUGGUCCCCAUUUUUCUGGAUUCUUCUUUCCUCUUCUUCUUCUUUCUCAUGUUACUUUCCCUCUCAUUCACUCUUCUUCACCGAGGCACGCCAUCAUUCACCAACUUUUCUUUUCCAGCAAAUUGGACCUUGCAAACAUCCUCACUAUGUUCACCAUCAUCCUAGGAACCUGUUUCAUGUGUUGGAUACUCAAGUUUACCUCGGGAUCAAACAAAUCAAGAACCUUCAUUUGAGCCGUCACUUUGCAAGUCAAUUUCCCGAAUAUUCUGACCAAGGUGAGACUUCUAAGCACCAUAAUUGGAUUCCUCAUGAUGUGUAGAUGAAAUUCAUGUUUGGGUCGUGUAAUUUGGUUUAAAAAUGAGAAAGUUAUAACGGUUUAAAGUUUGCCCAGAAAUUCCUGCAGGUUACCAGUUUUCCCGCGGACAGCCAUAUUUCAGGCCAUUUUCUGACCAUCUCCGGCCACCAAUUGGGCUUCAAGUAGGUAUAAUCUUGUUCUACACUUCUCUAGCUUCGUUUUGGUAUAUUAUAGGUCGAAUUUGGUUGAGAAACCAGUGAGAUAUGGAGUUCUAAAGAUUGCCUAGAAAAUCUGCAAAAUCCGGCAAAAUUUCGUUAAGGUCUGCCACUCGAACAUCAUAGCAAUCGACAAUCCGAUCGUUGGAUCGUCACCAAAUUUUGAUACAUUAUAGUACGUAAUAUUUAAGGACCUUAGGAACUUACGAAUUGAAAAUCUAGUGGUUGGAUCUUACGGAGCAAGUGACGUAGGAUCAUGGACCCUACCUUUGAACGACAGUUUGAUUCUCAUUAAAUGUUGUUGUGGGGGACAUAUGAGAUUUUUUUGGGUAUAUGAAUUAUCGAAGGAAUCUAAAUGUGGACUUGUACUUUGUUUUAGGCGACGAUAGUGCGUGACGUCUAAAUUCUUGUGCUAGGAUGCGUUAACACGGACUCCAGGUGAGUGACUUUAAUAUAUGUGAUAUUGGUGAUUACCUUGUUUUUGUAAUUGUUAUCCUGUGUGGAUAUCACUUGGUUUUAUAAAUAUGUUUUAUAUUGAAUUGUUAUUUUUAAUACUUACUAUUGAUUUAUGUUUAUGAAAUGAGAUUUGACGUGUAUAUUUGAAAUAUGAAUUAAUUUGUAUGAUUGGCAUGUUGUGGUGGAUCAUUAACCCAUUGCCAUGGGGUUGUUGCUUCGAAGUUUGUUUCACAUCCCGUUCCAUUGAUUCAUUUCUCGCUUCGUUGAUUCGUUCUAAAUUUAGUAUUUAUUCCUUGUUUCACUUUGUUGAGCUUAUGUAAAUUGAGUAACUUGACUCAUGUCUCAUUUCUUUAAGCCGUUGUACAUUAUGGUUGUUAGCCUUUCGCUCGGUUCCGUUGAGUGAUCCGGAAAUGGGUUGCCGUUGGGGUUCCGUUAAGUGGUCCGGAAUCCCUUAUGCUCCGCGAUUCCAUUGAGUGGUCCAGAAUCGUAUCCAGCUUGGGUUUCGUUGAGUGGUCCGAUAUCCAUUGUACUACACGAUUCCGUUGAGAGGUCCGGAAUCGUAUCCACUCAGAUUCCGUUGAGUGGUCCGGAAUCCUUUCUACUCCGUGAUUUCGUUGAGUGGUUCGGAAUCGUAUCUUGGUUGGAUUUAGUUGAGUGGUCUGGAAUCCCACUUGGUGUUUUGGUUUCGUUGAGAGGUCCAGAACCCGAUUAAUUGCCUUGUUGAUUCUUCGGAUUGAGUUUGGAUAGAGAUAGCUUUAGAGAUGUAGGCUUCGGCCGAAUUGUGUCGCUCUAGCCCUACUUUUCAUUGUGUUGUAUAAGUUUACGGUUGUGAGCUUUUGUGACUUGUUUUAGACGAGCCGUUGGAUGUCUAGGUGACUCCUUUUGGAUUUUCAGUGACUUGGUUAUGAUUUCAUAAAAUAUGAUUUUAAAUUUGACGUUUAUAAAUUAUGAUUGAUGGAUGGUUUUUAUUAGUAUCACAUACGUCGAAUUAUUGUCACGUACACGAGCUUCGCGGCUUAUUCGGGUUGUUGUUUGCCCGGUGCACCAUUCCGAUGGUGUAGGGGCGACUAUGCAUGUAUUAUUAGAUACAAGGAGCUUCGGGGUAGCUGACAGAGUUCAAAGACCUUGGAGUGCUAGGUUACCCCUAUACUUUUCCUUAAAUAUAUGUGAUUAUUGUUAUUUCAGUUCAGUAUUUUAGUUUGUAUUUCUUGGCAUCCCCUUAUAGUCUUCCGUCACGUGUCGAUCCUGGACAUGUGUUAGGAUCGGGGGGUGACAAAAUUAAAGUUUCCUCACGUUAUCUACAUACCUACAAUAAUUAAAUGCAGCUCUCUAUCCAAUUUCUUGAGCUUGAGUGUCAUCUUAGAGAAAAUUUUCCUUGUGCCCAUAACACAAGUGGUAUAACACGUGUUAUGUUAUUAAUUUUUUAACACAAGAAUCUCAAUACUUGUAUAGAGACACAUGGUGUAUCGUGUUCCGAACACAUUGAAAAAUCUCUCAUCAUCUUGACUAUUGUGGGGAAGCAACUCUACAAAAAUAAAACUGGGGAAGUAAUUUAAUUUGAAGUCUUUUUUCUUAUUCUAAGAAAAAAAAAAUCUUGAUGAAAACAUUUGGCACAGUCACUGGCCAGUCCACUCACGCAUAUGGUAAGUUUUUUUUCUUUUUCUUAUCUUUAUUAUUAAAUAAAGUUAUUAGAUAAUUUUAGGUUAAAAUGCAAAGUUUUAAAGUCAUUUUUAUUAGUUUUCUUUUAAAAAAUUGGGUAUCCAGGCAAGAUUAUCUGUCGCAACCUCAAAUUUCCCUGCAGAAAUGGCCUUCGUGACCUCCAUGAGCGACUGCUUGGAAUACGUGCAAGUAGUAGGGGUUUCCACGAAGGACAACAAAAGCGAUGACGGAGAAAGGAGCUUCUAGCUCUGACUUGGAACCGCUGGAGAAACAAAUUUGGAAGGUUGGAGAGAGAAGAAUAGGAGAUAGAAGGAAGAAAAAUGAGGAUGAAUGUGAAGGUACUUUCACAGGGUGGAUUUUGGUUCUUGCUGAAGCAAGAGUGUUGGCAGAGAAGCCGGCCUGCCAAGAGGUCUUGACAAGAAGGCAGCCUUCAUUGUGUUUUGUUUUUAUUUUUGUUUUUUUUAAGUUUUAAAGUAAAAUUACUUUUAAUCAAGCCUUUUUAAUUAAUAAAAUAUUUGUUUCAAAGUAACUAAUUAAAAUACUUUUGGGUAAAAGACUGUUUACUACCCUCAUGUUUCGUGGUUUUCAACAUUUAGUACAUCAAGUUUUUUUCGUCUCAGAUUCAUACCUAAAGUGUAAAUUUUGGGACAGUCUCAUACAUCCGUUAGUCAAACUGUUAAGUCUCCCGUUAACUAUGACGUGGCGCACUGACUGGGCGCCAUGUGUCAUCAUUCUUCUUCAUCUUAUUCUCCAGAUUCGGAGGAAGAAGAAGGAGAAUGAGAAGGAAGAAGAAGGAAGAAGGGGAAGAAGGGGAAGGAAGGAGGAAUGAAGGAAGAAGGAGGAGGAAGAAAAAAAAGAAAAAUAAAAAGAAAGUUGCAGUCGGAGGAAGAAGAAGAAGAAGGAAGAAGAAAAGAAAAGAAAAAAAAAAGAAAAAAAAGAAAAAAAAAACAUGGAUGACAUGUGGCGCCCAGUCAGUGUGCCACGUCACAGGUAACAGAAAACUUAACAGUUUGACUAACGGAUGUAUGAGACUGUCCCAAAAUUUAUACUUUAGGUAUGAAUCUGAGAUGAAAAAAACUUGAUAUACUAAAUGUUGAAAACCACGAAACAUGAGGCUAGUAAACAGUCUUUUACCCAAUACUUUUUUAAUUAACUUUAAUCGUUAAAAUAAAAUUCUUAAUUUAUUAAUAAUUAAUUAAUAUUUUAUUCCAAUGGCAAAGGAGUGGAUCUCACUCUUACCACGUCAUCAUUUAACAUCAGAAGAUUCAGAACUGACAGUAAAUUUAACAGAGAUCUGAUAUUGUGACCAAUUCAUAAGUUGAGGCAUAUGACAUUGCAAUGUUUAAAAUAUAAGGUAUGCGAUUGUGUUUCAACCUAAAGUUGAG